AGCGAACGCUGGCGGCAGGCUUAACACAUGCAAGUCGAGCGCCUGUAGCAAUACAGGAGCGGCAGACGGGAGAGUAACACGUGGGAACGUACCCUUCAGUACGGAACAACCCAGGGAAACUUGGGCUAAUACCGUAUACGUCCGUAAGGAGAAAGAUUUAUCGCUGAAGGAUCGGCCCGCGUCUGAUUAGCUAGUUGGUGAGGUAACGGCUCACCAAGGCGACGAUCAGUAGCUGGUCUGAGAGGAUGAUCAGCCUCAUUGGGACUGAGACACGGCCCAAACUCCUACGGGAGGCAGCAGUGGGGAAUAUUGGACAAUGGGCGCAAGCCUGAUCCAGCCAUGCCGCGUGGAUGAUGAAGGCCUUAGGGUUGUAAAGUCCUUUCGACGGGGAAGAUAAUGACGGUACCCGUAGAAGAAGCCCCGGCUAACCUUCGUGCCA
rnacentral:rRNA from 1 species